CACUGAGAAGUUCCCCGUGCGAAUCGGGUCGUCCUGAUGCCUAAAAGCUAGCUCAAACCCCCAAAUUAACUAGUAAAUAUUUAUAUCCCCUUAUACCUUUAAAGCUUUAAAUAAACCAUUUUUCCCCUCUAGUAUGGGAGACAGAAAAAGAAAUUGACGCAACAGAUAAAGUACCGCAAGGGAACGUUGAAAGAGAAAUGAAAUAAAUCAGUAAAGCACAAUAAAGCAGAGCUAACCCCUCGUACCUUUUGCAUCAUGCACUAGCAAGAGCCCUUCGAGCAAAAAGCAUUUUAGUUCGAAAACCCGAAACCAGGUGAGCUACCCCAAGACAGUCUUUAAUGAGGACCUACCCGUCUCUGUGGCAAAAGAGUGGGGCGAUCUUUGGGUAGAGGUGAUAAACCUACCGAACCUUGUUAUAGCUGGUUGCCUAAGAAUUGAAUAGAAGUUCAGCCCCUAACCCUUUCUUUUUUCCCCUUAGGCGUAAGCCAAAAAUAGACAACAAGAAGGUUAUGGAGUUAGUCAGAGGGGGUACAGCCCCUCUGAAUAAGAUACAACUUUUUAAGGUGGUCUAGGAUCACACACUUCAUAAAGACCUUUGUACUUUUGUGGGCCUAAAAGCAGCCAUCCAUAUAGAAAGCGUUAAAGCUCCAGUACAACUACAAGCCUAUAAUCUCGAAAAUUUCCUCCCUUUCCCCUUAUCAAUAUUAAGCCUCCCCAUCCAACAUAUGGGGGUGAUAAUGCUAAUAUGAGUAACUAGAGGGCCACUUCCCUCUCCAAGCACAAGUGUAUCCCGGAACGGAUCUUCCGCCGGACCUUAAUCGGAUCCCUUACAAGAGGUCCCUGGGCUAAAAAAAGAAAACUAGAAAAAUACCCAAAUAUUAACCGUUAACCCCACACUGGCGUGCCCUCACGGAAAGACUAAAAGAAAAAGAAGGAACUCGGCAAAUAUACUUUAAGCCUCGCCUGUUUACCAAAAACAUCGCCUCUUGCUUAAUAAAAUAUAAGAGGUCCCGCCUGCCCUGUGACGUAAGUUUAACGGCCGCGGUAAUUUGACCGUGCGAAGGUA
rnacentral:rRNA from 1 species